rfam:Gossypium arboreum cultivar AKA8401 contig_1365_9, whole genome shotgun sequence.
AACCCAUGGUGAGGGCACCUUCUCAAUAAAUCUUUAUAUCUCUCUCAUGCAUAAUAAAGUGUUUCUAAAUCCAUCUGCACAAAAGAAGAGAUAUCAUUCCUUAACUU